rnacentral:misc_RNA from 1 species
CCGAGUGCGGGUCCUUUGGGCCCAACCUCCCAUCCGUGUCUAUUAUACCCUGUUGCUUCGGCGGGCCCGCCGCUUGUCGGCCGCCGGGGGGGCGCCUUUGCCCCCCGGGCCCGUGCCCGCCGGAGACCCCAACACGAACACUGUCUGAAAGCGUGCAGUCUGAGUUGAUUGAAUGCAAUCAGUUAA